rnacentral:rRNA from 1 species
CAAUAGCGUAUAUUAAAGUUGUUGCAGUUAAAAAGCCCGUAGUUGGAUUUCUGGUAGGAGUGACCGUUCCGAACUUGAUUGUUCGUGUAUUGUGUUUUCUCCAGCCAUCCUUGUGGAGAACUUUUCUUGCAUUAAUUUGUAGGGAUUGGGACCCGCAUCGUUUACUGUGAAAAAAUUAGAGUGUUUAAAGCAGGCAAUCGCUUGAAUACAUUAGCAUGGAAUAAUAAGAUAGGACUUUGGUACUAUUUUGUUGGUUUGCAUACCAAAUUAAUGAUCAACAGGAACAGUUUGAGGAUAUUCGUAUGAACAUGUCAGAGGUGAAAUUCUUGGAUUUUGAUCAGACGAACUACUGCGAAAGCAUUUAGCAAGGAUGUUUUCAUUAA